UUAAAGUGAUGGUACGCAUGUAUCGUAAGGAUUUGAAGUUAAACCAAUUGAAGAAAAUAAGUUUCGUCGAGGUUCAAAAUUUAUUUGAAUGGAAUACGGUCCAAGCUAUAGUAUUUCGUAUUUUUGGACUAGAAAAAUUUAAUCGUCCAAUAUGAGUAAAAUUACCCGAGCCCGAAAAAUUCGAUCAUAUUCAAGGAUAAAAAUCGAGAGCUCGGUGUACAAAGAGUUUGAGGUCCCGAAAUAAUUUAGGACUUAACAAGUGUGAUAACGGUGAUUGGAAUAAUAUUUGGUGUAUGUAUAAAGAGGUUAUGGACUAGUGUUAUAUCUCAUUAUCAUGAUAACGAGUAUAUGAGGUGUGUUAAAAAAUUUUACUUAAGUGAAUUGAGAUUAAGGAAUUAAUUAUGUGGACAAUUGGUUAAAUGUGGAGAUGAAGUGGGAGAGUAUCGGAUUAAUUAUGGUAUUAAUUGAAUAAAAUGGAUAAGUUUAAUUUAUAUGAAUUCACGUGAGAACAUAGGGAUAAGGGAGACUUAUGACCAUGCAACUAUAAGAGGUUUAGGUGGCAGCAAUAUAGGUAUGUCUUGAAGUGGUGAAAGUUAGGUAGAUUCACGUUUUCAAGUAGAGGAAAUGGUGAUAUAUUAGUUCAUUUGGAUAGAAAAAAAAAAACUCUAGUAGAAUAGUUGCUGCAAUAUUACGUGCUAUGUGGAGAAGAACAACGUAUCUAUAAUUGACAAGAGGAACAUGGCAUUAUUCCUUGUCUACCUUAUUUGGGACAACAUUUUUUAUACUAUAUAUAUUUACUUGAUCCAUAGGAAAGGCAUUAAAAAAAAAAAAAUGUGUGUACCAAAAGGGACUAUGGACUAGUGCUACGUCACAUAAUCAUGGAAAUGGAUAUAUGAAGUGUAUUAAAAAUAAUUGGUAAAAAUGAAUUGAGAUCAAGAAAUUAAUUAUGGUAUUAAGUGGAAUUAAAUAAAUAAGCACUAUUAGCAAGUUGCCGCAUGGCAUUAGAUAAUUAAAAUGGUGGCUGAUACAUGGCACUAAUUAGGCCAAUAGGUGGCAUCAUAUUGGUACUAAAAUAUCAUGAGUCAUUAGCACAUUUAUGUACCAAAUGACACGUAUAAAGGUGGAAAAUGGUCCUUAUGACCUUAUUUCAUUUCAUUUGCAAUUGGAAACAAGGAAAGCAGCUGUUCAUUACAUAUUAUUUCUAAGAAAACGUUCAGGUGUUCAACAACACAAAAGUAUAAAAACACAAAAGUAGUUGCUAAAUUUUUAUAUCAUCUUCUCCUUCCUUGAUAGCUAAGUGAUGGCAUAAACGUUUUGGAGUGUUGUCACCCUAUUGUAUGGCUGGUUUUGAAAGCAUAGAGCUGGGAUUCUAAUAAAGUGUUCUAGAGAUUAAGGCUAAAAGAGCGACGAGACGAACGGGUUACGAAUAGCCGCUAACAGGUACAGACGAUCGAUUUGUUGAUCCGCCCACUUAGGAUCCUAUUCUGCUAUCUUGGAGUGCUCCUUAGUCCGGAGCCUAUAUUUUGUGUACAGACUCUUCUGUUGCACAUAUGUAUGUUAUUCAGGGGUAUGACGGAGCCCUGUCCCGUCUUAUGAUUUGCUUGUUGUUCGUAGAGGUCUGUAGACAUACAUGUGGGUUGUGUAUAUGUUUUGGGUUACUAUGUUCUAUGAUAGCCUUAUCGGCUUCCGUGCGAUAUGUCUGGUUGUCUAUGAUAAUUAGUAAAGCCAUUCGACUCCCGUAUCUGUAUAUUCUGGUUUGGGUUGUUGGGUACGUAUGGGUGUCCAGCACGGACACUAGUCACGGCCUACGGGGUUGGGUCGUGACAAAAGUGGUAUCAGAGCGGUUUGUCCUCGGAAUGUCUACAGGCCGUGUCUAGUAGAGUCUUGUUUAUCGGUGUGUUGUGCACCACAUCUAUAAACAGGAAGCUACAGGACAUUUAGGAUGUUACCUUUCUUUCAUAUCUAAGAUCGUGCGAUAGAGCCCAGCCAUAGGAAAUGAAAUUCCUUAUACUAAUUUUUGAUUUCAGCUGAAGAACGAUAUCGACAUAAGAAAGCGACCGAUGAUAUUAGCAGUUACAAGGUACACAGGUAAGUUACGAUGCGAAAGAGGCAUGUCGAAUAAAGUAAGAAUAUUGGAAUAUGAUUGAAAUGUAAAGUUGAAGGAUGAAAAAGAAGGUGGAUAGGAAGGUAUAACAGGACAGAUCGUUAAAGGAUCAGGUACGCCUCGAGGUGUAAUAUGUGAGGUAAGUCCCGAUACCUUUAUACUUUUUUUUUUGGAAAUUGGGAGCCCUGUGUGGCUAUGAUAUGAUACGAUAUAUGCAUAUAUAUGUUGGCCAUGUGAGGCAUUGUGGGUAUUUCCUGCGUGCAGGUUUUGAAAUAGUAAGAAAUACAGAGAAAAUUCUGCCAAAAUUUUCCUAGAAAUUAAUUAAAACUGUGAGAUAAAUAUUAUUUGGACAAAUGCCCUGUAAGUUAUCGACAUGUGACAAUGAGGUCCCAUAAUUUAAGACAGAAAAGUAUGACGAUGAUGAUUGGAGAUAAUAUUGGUGUGUGCAUUAAGUGGCUAUGGACUAAUGUUACAACACAUGAUUAUGAUAAUGAGUACACGAAGUGUGUUAGAAGUGAUUCAUUAUUUAAGUAAAUUGAGAUCAUGAGAUUAAUUAUGUGUGUAACGGGUCAAAUGGGGAUGAGUAAUUAAUUACCAAAUUAUUAUGGGAGACAGUGGAUGAGUGUAAAUCCACAUGGCAUCAUGAUGUUUAUAUCAAUAUAUAAUUAUUGUAAGGUGUUAAUUUAUUUAGUGGACACGUUUGGAAGAGAAUGCUUGUUACCAUGAAAGUGUCAAUUAUGUGGGCCCAUUUAAAUCUCUACAUAUAUGAUCUUACCAUUUCAUUGUUGAUGGGACCAAUAUGGUCAGAUUUUUCCCACAAAUAAUCCACAAAUUCUCAAAGUGAAGAGUGCAACAAAAGCACGACUCAUCAUCUAUGACUUUCUAUUAAAUCGUACGAGCAUCUAAGAUUAAAGUAUUGCUAGAGUUAGCCCUUUGAGUUGCCGAACAAAUGACAGGUGGAGAAUGGCAUUAGGCUAAGUAAAGAAAGGCACAACAUGAUAGAUAAGUUCGAGUUACAAUUGAUUCGUUAUAAGAUCACCAUAAACAGUAUACUUAUGCAAGACAAAUUUAACAUUCGAGGACGAAUGUUUUAAAGGGGGGAAGGAUGUUAGAUCCCGUAAUUUCAUACGUUGGAAAGUGUGCGAGUUAAAUGAUAUUAGUAACGGACACGAGGUUAUCCCCCAAGCUUAUAGGUGAUUAAAGUGAUGGUACGCAUGUAUCGUAAGGAUUUGAAGUUAAACCAAUUGAAGAAAAUAAGUUUCGUCGAGGUUCAAAAUUUAUUUGAAUGGAAUACGGUCCAAGCUAUAGUAUUUCGUAUUUUUGGACUAGAAAAAUUUAAUCGUCCAAUAUGAGUAAAAUUACCCGAGCCCGAAAAAUUCGAUCAUAUUCAAGGAUAAAAAUCGAGAGCUCGGUGUACAAAGAGUUUGAGGUCCCGAAAUAAUUUAGGACUUAACAAGUGUGAUAACGGUGAUUGGAAUAAUAUUUGGUGUAUGUAUAAAGAGGUUAUGGACUAGUGUUAUAUCUCAUUAUCAUGAUAACGAGUAUAUGAGGUGUGUUAAAAAAUUUUACUUAAGUGAAUUGAGAUUAAGGAAUUAAUUAUGUGGACAAUUGGUUAAAUGUGGAGAUGAAGUGGGAGAGUAUCGGAUUAAUUAUGGUAUUAAUUGAAUAAAAUGGAUAAGUUUAAUUUAUAUGAAUUCACGUGAGAACAUAGGGAUAAGGGAGACUUAUGACCAUGCAACUAUAAGAGGUUUAGGUGGCAGCAAUAUAGGUAUGUCUUGAAGUGGUGAAAGUUAGGUAGAUUCACGUUUUCAAGUAGAGGAAAUGGUGAUAUAUUAGUUCAUUUGGAUAGAAAAAAAAAAACUCUAGUAGAAUAGUUGCUGCAAUAUUACGUGCUAUGUGGAGAAGAACAACGUAUCUAUAAUUGACAAGAGGAACAUGGCAUUAUUCCUUGUCUACCUUAUUUGGGACAACAUUUUUUAUACUAUAUAUAUUUACUUGAUCCAUAGGAAAGGCAUUAAAAAAAAAAAAAUGUGUGUACCAAAAGGGACUAUGGACUAGUGCUACGUCACAUAAUCAUGGAAAUGGAUAUAUGAAGUGUAUUAAAAAUAAUUGGUAAAAAUGAAUUGAGAUCAAGAAAUUAAUUAUGGUAUUAAGUGGAAUUAAAUAAAUAAGCACUAUUAGCAAGUUGCCGCAUGGCAUUAGAUAAUUAAAAUGGUGGCUGAUACAUGGCACUAAUUAGGCCAAUAGGUGGCAUCAUAUUGGUACUAAAAUAUCAUGAGUCAUUAGCACAUUUAUGUACCAAAUGACACGUAUAAAGGUGGAAAAUGGUCCUUAUGACCUUAUUUCAUUUCAUUUGCAAUUGGAAACAAGGAAAGCAGCUGUUCAUUACAUAUUAUUUCUAAGAAAACGUUCAGGUGUUCAACAACACAAAAGUAUAAAAACACAAAAGUAGUUGCUAAAUUUUUAUAUCAUCUUCUCCUUCCUUGAUAGCUAAGUGAUGGCAUAAACGUUUUGGAGUGUUGUCACCCUAUUGUAUGGCUGGUUUUGAAAGCAUAGAGCUGGGAUUCUAAUAAAGUGUUCUAGAGAUUAAGGCUAAAAGAGCGACGAGACGAACGGGUUACGAAUAGCCGCUAACAGGUACAGACGAUCGAUUUGUUGAUCCGCCCACUUAGGAUCCUAUUCUGCUAUCUUGGAGUGCUCCUUAGUCCGGAGCCUAUAUUUUGUGUACAGACUCUUCUGUUGCACAUAUGUAUGUUAUUCAGGGGUAUGACGGAGCCCUGUCCCGUCUUAUGAUUUGCUUGUUGUUCGUAGAGGUCUGUAGACAUACAUGUGGGUUGUGUAUAUGUUUUGGGUUACUAUGUUCUAUGAUAGCCUUAUCGG